rnacentral:rRNA from 1 species
AUCGUAUGCGUGUGUAUAUAUAUAGGUUAAUAACUAAAGAUUUUAUUUGAGUACUAAUGGAAUAUAGUGUGAGAUAAAAGAAAAUAAUUGUACCUUUUGUAUCAGGGUUUGUUAAAUUUAAAUUUAUAUAGAUUAUCUAGAAUAUUUAAAAAUUAUAUUUUAGUAUUUUAAUAUUUUAUAUUUUAAAUUUAUGCAAAUAGUAGUGAAAAAUUAUCGUUUAAGUUGGUAGCUAGUUAUUUAAUAAAAGUUAUAGACUUAAAAAAUAAAUUUUAUUAGCAACAGGGUAAUCUUUUAGCUAUAUUAAUAUUUUAAUGCAUUAAAUUUUAUUUAGGCUUUAGAUUAGCCACAUUAAUAAAUUGUUAAAAAUAAUAUUUUUAGAUUUUAUUACCUAUUUAUUUAAAGGUUAAGUUAAUAUAAAUUAUAUUUAAUUAUAUUUAUUAAUAGCAGAAUUAGUAAUAAAAAAAAUUUUACAAAAGGAACUUGUUUUGUUUUUGAAAGUUUAACAAAAACAUUUCUUUAUUGUAAUUAGGUAAGACCUGCCCAGUGAUCUAAUUAAACGGCUGCAGUAUUUUAACUGUGCUAAGGUAGCAUAAUCAUUAGUUUUUUAAUUGGGAUCUGGAAUGAAAGGUUAAACAAAGAUUAUUGUCUCUUGUAAAAUAGAUUAAUUUGUAUUUUAAGUAAAAUUACUUAAAUAUUUCUAAGGGACGAUAAGACCCUAAAAGCUUUAUAAGAUAAAAAAAGUUUUGUUUAAUAAAAAAUAUAUUUUACUGGGGUAGUAGCUUUAAAAAAACUAGAGUGGGAAAGACUAUUUAGAUUUAAGUUCCUUAAUAUUAGGAUAUAUAGUGUAAGUUACUUUAGGGAUAACAGCGUAAUAAUUUUGUAGAGUUCUUAUUAAUGAAGUUGAUUGCGACCUCGAUGUUGAAUUAAGAUAAUUUUUAAUGCAGAAGUUAAAAGAAAUAGGUUUGUUCAACCUUUAAAUUCUUACAUGAUUUGAGUUCAAAUCGGUUUAAGCCAGAUUGGUUUCUAUCUUUUGAAAAUUUAAAAAAAAAUUUAGUACGAAAGGACCAAUUAAUAUUUAUACAUUUCU